AUUGAACGCUGUCGGCAGGCUCAACACAUGCAAGUCGAGCGCGCGGCGGACGGGUGACUAAUGUAUGGGGUCUGCCCGAUAGAGCGGGAUAACCACCGGCAACGGUGGCUAAUACCGCAUACUAACGGAUCAUCCAUAUGGGAUUAGCUAGUUGGUGGGGUCAAGGCUCACCUAGGCGACGAUAUCUAGCUGGUCUGAGUGGAUGAUCAGCCACAAUGGGACGGAGACACGGCCCAGACUCCUACGGAGGCAGCAGUGGGGAAUAGUGCACCAUGGGGGCAUGCCUGAUACAGCCAGGCCGCGUGUAUGAAGAAGGCCUUAGGGGUGUAAAGUACUUUCAGCGGAGAGGCGUUACCCACAGAAGAAGCACCGGCUAACUACGUGCCAGCAGCCGCGGUAAUUC
rnacentral:rRNA from 1 species